UAUACCGUGAAACUGCGAAUGGCUCAUUAAAUCAGUUAUCGUUUAUUUGAUAGUACCUUACUACUUGGAUAACCGUGGUAAUUCUAGAGCUAAUACAUGCUGAAAACCCCGACUUACGAAGGGGUGUAUUUAUUAGAUAAAAAACCAACGCCCUUCGGGGCUUCUUGGUGAUUCAUGAUAACUUUACGGAUCGCAUGGCCUUGCGCCGGCGACGGUUCAUUCAAAUUUCUGCCCUAUCAACUUUCGAUGGUAAGGUAUUGGCUUACCAUGGUUUCAACGGGUAACGGGGAAUUAGGGUUCGAUUCCGGAGAGGGAGCCUGAGAAACGGCUACCACAUCCAAGGAAGGCAGCAGGCGCGCAAAUUACCCAAUCCCGACACGGGGAGGUAGUGACAAUAAAUACUGAUACAGGGCUCUUUUGGGUCUUGUAAUUGGAAUGAGUACAAUUUAAACCUCUUAACGAGGAACAAUUGGAGGGCAAGUCUGGUGCCAGCAGCCGCGGUAAUUCCAGCUCCAAUAGCGUAUAUUAAAGUUGUUGCAGUUAAAAAGCUCGUAGUUGAAACUUGGGCCUGGCUGGCAGGUCCGCCUCACCGCGUGUACUUGUCCGGCCGGGUCUUCCUUCUGGAGAACCUCAUGCCCUUCACUGGGCGUGUUGGGGACCAGGACUUUUACUUUGAAAAAAUUAGAGUGUUCAAAGCAGGCCUUUGCUCGAAUACGUUAGCAUGGAAUAAUAGAAUAGGACGUGCGGUCCUAUUUUGUUGGUUUCUAGGACCGCCGUAAUGAUUAAUAGGGACAGUCGGGGGCAUCAGUAUUCAAUUGUCAGAGGUGAAAUUCUUGGAUUUAUUGAAGACUAACUACUGCGAAAGCAUUUGCCAAGGAUGUUUUCAUUAAUCAGUGAACGAAAGUUAGGGGAUCGAAGACGAUCAGAUACCGUCGUAGUCUUAACCGUAAACUAUGCCGACUAGGGAUCGGGCGAUGUUCUUUUUCUGACUCGCUCGGCACCUUACGAGAAAUCAAAGUU
rnacentral:rRNA from 1 species